rnacentral:misc_RNA from 1 species
CAAUCCUGUGCUUCGGAGCAAUCCUGUGCCCG